GCAGUUGUGGCCUAAUGGUUAGCAAGUCUGCCUUAUAACCUGAAGGUCGUGGGUUCAAGUCUCAGGUCUGGCA